UACGUAGGGUGCAAGCGUUGUCCGGAAUUAUUGGGCGUAAAGAGCUCGUAGGCGGUCUGUCGCGUCGGCUGUGAAAACUCGGGGCUUAACCCCGGGCCUGCAGUGGGUACGGGCAGACUAGAGUGCGGUAGGGGAGACUGGAAUUCCUGGUGUAGCGGUGAAAUGCGCAGAUAUCAGGAGGAACACCGGUGGCGAAGGCGGGUCUCUGGGCCGUAACUGACGCUGAGGAGCGAAAGCAUGGGGAGCGAACAGG
rnacentral:rRNA from 1 species